rnacentral:rRNA from 1 species
GCGGACGGGUGAGUAACGCGUGAGCAACCUGCCUUUCAGAGGGGGAUAACGUUUGGAAACAGACGCUAAUACCGCAUAAGAUAGUAGUAUCGCAUGGUACGGCUAUCAAAGGAGCAAUCCGCUGAGAGAUGGGCUCGCGUCCGAUUAGAUAGUUGGUGGGGUAACGGCCUACCAAGUCAGCGAUCGGUAGCCGGACUGAGAGGUUGAACGGCCACAUUGGGACUGAGACACGGCCCAGACUCCUACGGGAGGCAGCAGUGGGGGAUAUUGCACAAUGGGCGAAAGCCUGAUGCAGCAACGCCGCGUGAGGGAAGACGGUUUUCGGAUUGUAAACCUCUGUCUUUGGUGAAGAAAGAAAUGACGGUAGCCAAGGAGGAAGCCACGGCUAACUACGUGCCAGCAGCCGCGGUAAUACGUAGGUGGCAAGCGUUGUCCGGAAUAACUGGGUGUAAAGGGAGCGCAGGCGGGGAGACAAGUCCGCUGUGAAAACUAUGGGCUUAACCCAUAGACGGCAGUGGAAACUGUAUCUCUUGAGUGGAGUAGAGGCAGGCGGAAUUCCGAGUGUAGCGGUGAAAUGCGUAGAUAUUCGGAGGAACACCAGUGGCGAAGGCGGCCUGCUGGGCUCUAACUGACGCUGAGGCUCGAAAGUGUGGGGAGCAAACAGGAUUAGAUACCCUGGUAGUCCACACUGUAAACGAUGAUUGCUAGGUGUGGGGGGGUCUAACCCCUUCCGUGCCGGAGCUAACGCAAUAAGCAAUCAACCUGGGGGAGUACGGCCGCAAGGUUGAAACUCAAAUGAAAUUG